rnacentral:lncRNA from 1 species
UUUAGUUCCCAAUAAGCCUCGACAACUUACCGGACAGCACUCCACAAGUGCACUGAUUCGGACUCAAUAUCCGUCUGAGUUGUCUCAACCCGGUCAAACAACUUGCCCCGGAUUCCCCAGAUGCCCCACUUCUGCUUGGGACUUUGCUAUCAUGUCAUCAACAUGGCAUUCGCUUUCACGAUGAAUCAUAUCAUGAAACAAAGUCACCCUUGACCUUCGAUACGUGGCACCGGCCUUUUUGAG